GUGGGGAAUAUUGGACAAUGGGCGCAAGCCUGAUCCAGCCAUGCCGCGUGAGUGAUGAAGGCCCUAGGGUUGUAAAGCUCUUUCACCGGUGAAGAUAAUGACGGUAACCGGAGAAGAAGCCCCGGCUAACUUCGUGCCAGCAGCCGCGGUAAUACGAAGGGGGCUAGCGUUGUUCGGAAUUACUGGGCGUAAAGCGCACGUAGGCGGACAUUUAAGUCAGGGGUGAAAUCCCGGGGCUCAACCCCGGAACUGCCUUUGAUACUGGGUGUCUGGGGUAUGGAAGAGGUAAGUGGAAUUCCGAGUGUAGAGGUGAAAUUCGUAGAUAUUCGGAGGAACACCAGUGGCGAAGGCGGCUUACUGGUCCAUUACUGACGCUGAGGUGCGAAAGCGUGGGGAGCAAACAGGAUUAGAAACCCGGGUAGUCC
rnacentral:rRNA from 1 species